UCGUGCUAGAUGGGGAGGUAGCGGUGCCCUGCACCCGCAAUCCGCUAUAGCGGGGUCGAAUUCCCCUCUAGAGGUCCUCGCACUUCCCCUCCGAACGGCGAAAAAAGGCGUCGAAGGUCAGAUUCUGCGCAACGCAAGGCUUCCGAACCCCGUCAGGACCGGAAGGUAGCAGCGGUAAGAAUGUCCUUGCGUGUGCCGUAGAGGUGUCUGGCCUGAGCUGAUUGCAGUCAGGAGGAGAGGAAGUCGGGAUCGAAGGGGGGUGCACGA
rnacentral:SRP_RNA from 1 species